rnacentral:rRNA from 1 species
UACAGAGGGUGCGAGCGUUGUCCGGAAUCACUGGGCGUAAAGGGCGCGUAGGCGGUCUGCUAAGCGUGUGGUGAAAAGCUCGGGGCUCAACCCCGAGUCGGCCGUGCGAACUGGUGGACUGGAGCAUGUCAGAGGCAGGCGGAAUUCCGGGUGUAGCGGUGGAAUGCGUAGAGAUCCGGAAGAACACCGGUGGCGAAGGCGGCCUGCUGGGACAUUGCUGACGCUGAGGCGCGACAGCGUGGGGAGCAAACAGG